GAUGAACGCUAGCGGCAGGCUUAACACAUGCAAGUCGAGGGGUAGUAUAGCAAUAUAUGAGACCGGCGCACGGGUGCGUAACGCGUAUGCAAUCUGCCUUUUACAGAGGGAUAGCCCAGAGAAAUUUGGAUUAAUACCUCAUAGUAUAUUGAUGUGGCAUCACAUUAUUAUUAAAGAUUUAUCGGUAAAAGAUGAGCAUGCGUCCCAUUAGCUAGUUGGUAAGGUAACGGCUUACCAAGGCGACGAUGGGUAGGGGUCCUGAGAGGGAGAUCCCCCACACUGGUACUGAGACACGGACCAGACUCCUACGGGAGGCAGCAGUGAGGAAUAUUGGACAAUGGGCGCAAGCCUGAUCCAGCCAUGCCGCGUGCAGGAUGAAGCAUCUAUGGUGUGUAAACUGCUUUUANACGGGAAGAAACCACUUCUUCGUGAAGAGUACUGGACGGUACGUAAGAAUAAGGAUCGGCUAACUCCGUGCC
rnacentral:rRNA from 1 species